rnacentral:rRNA from 1 species
CAGCAACACACACAAACCCAUUUGACUUUACUAAAUAAAAGCCUAACUAAACCUAGUAAUUCUAAACUCCUCCCUCUACAACACCGCAAGGAAUCCCUACAACACCAUAUAAAAAACAAAUUAAACCCUCCUACCUUUUGCAUCAUGUAUUUGCAACAAAACCAAGCUAAUACUACCUCCCGAAAAGUGAAGAGCUAUUACUACCAAUUCAAUAAUGUAGCAUUAUUAUAAAAAGGCAGUAAUAGGAGCGAAAUACCUUACGAAUUACUUGAUAGCUGGUUGUUCCUUAAAAGCAUCUAAGUGCUACUUAGUGAACCCUUACAAAAAUUAUAAUCACUAAAGCCACGCCAACAAGGACAAGCUUGUUGGCUCUAAGAAGUAAAUUAACCUCCACACAUUAAAAAUAGGCCUAAAAACAGCCAGUAUAACUCCGUCUUAGGAAAUAACUAUUAUUUACUAAUAUCUAACACCAACUCAAGACUUAAAGGAACCUUACCGUAGAAUACACACCAUAAUGAACCGGCAACUAUUAGUAUCCAAAACCUUAUUCCUAAUACCUUUAUAAGCAAGAAAAGUAUUACACACUAUACUACUGUGUAUCAAACCAUUGAUAGCAAACUCGACAAACCCUCCCUUCGCCUGUUUACCAAAAACAUCGUUCUUUGACCAUUAACACAUAAAGAAUACUGUCUGCCCAAUGACUUUAAAAGUUAAAUGGCCGCGUUAGCGUGAGCGUGCUAAGGUAGCGUAAUAAUUAGCUCUCUAAUUAGGAGCCAGUCAAUGACUAAACGAAGAGAAGCUGUACCAUCAAUGAAAAGAAAAUUUUUCUUCUGAGUGAAAAGACUCAGAUACAAGAGAUAGACAAAAAGACCCCGCGGAACUUUCCUGCAUAAGUAACAGCAUCACUCAAACUGAAACGAAAAAGGUUGGUUGGGGCAACCAUGGAGAAAGAAAAGCCUCCAAACACACUUCAAACACACAUACCAAACUUGAUUAAAACAUUAUAGUAGUUACCCCGGGGAUAACAGCGUAAUCCAACUAGAGAGUACACAUCGAAAGUUGGGUUUGCGACCUCGAUGUUGGCUUAGGGAAAGCAACUUGGCGCAGCCACUAAGUGCAUAGCUAGUCUGUUCGACUACAAACCCCCUACAUGAGCUGAGUUAAGACCGGCGAGAGCUAGGUUGGAUUCUAUCUUCUCCUUUAAAUUAACCCUUUAUUGUACGAAAGGACCCAAAGAGACACAAACAACAAGUGCAAACUUAAACACUAACACUCACAUUGAAAC